AUUUACAUGUUGCCUUCUUGUUCAACGAACAGCGUCAGCAUCCACUAAUUAAUCCAUCAGCGACGAUCGCCGCCAGCAUCACUCCAUCAUUAGCCGAUCUCCGAAAGAAGCAAGAGGACUGCUGCCCUUGGAGACUUAUCUUCAACAGAAGAAACAAGUAUCACCUGCUUUGGGAGUGAAAUCUGAUUAAAGCCAGAUCCUUCAAUGAAGAGAGAAAGGGAGAGAAAAGAACUGAGAAAAUGGAGGGAACGUGGCACCUAGUUGUGAGGAUGAAGAAGCAAGUACUACAGAGUCUCUCCUUUCUCAUUUGCAGUUCUAUUCCGGACAUGACAUACGUCACUUCAGCGCAUCACCAAAUAGCAAGCUGGUGAGCUGUUUAUCUCCCUCCCUGCACCUUAUUAAGAAGUGAAGCUCUGUUGGUGACUAAUGGAAGGAGCUAAGUCAGAGGGUACCAGUUGUUCUUAUAUCCUAGGACUGGAGAGAAAUAAGAUACCUGCAAAGAAAAGACACGUGAUUUGAGAAAGAGCGUUGGUAGUGGAGAGGGAAAAAGAACAGAAUUGAUGCUGAAGGCAGCGGAAUCAACGGGGCAGAGAAGCGGCUCGGCUGCGCCUCGCAAGCACUAGGAGGACCUGAGCUUGAUUCCCAGAAUGCACCUGAGAGUGCCAAGUGCAACAGUGUGCACUUAUAAUCUCAGAGGUUGGAGGAGCAGGUAGAGGUGGAUCUUUGAGGCUUGCUGGCCGGCUAGCCUAGCCUACUCGGAGGGUGCCAGGCUGGUGAGAGACUCAGAAAGGAAAACAAAAAAGGUUGGUGGUGCCUGGUAAAGGAUACCCAGCGUUGUCCAGUGCUGCGUACACAGACCAUACUCACACAAAUGCGCAUAGCCACACAUACGCAAGCACCCGCAAACACACGAAGUCGCAUGGGCCUGUAAGUGUGAAGGAAACUCUCAGAAUUCAAAGGGAAUGAGGAGGGAUACAAAGGGAACGUGCUGUUAGAGGGAGAAAAAAAAUGAAGACACGAGAGUAAUGUGGACAUGUUUUAAUGUGAGAAAUUAAACCCUUUUCGAGAAUGCUGACAGAAAACCACCAAACAAAAAUCAUGGCAAUUGCAUGUGUGAACUCAAUAGUGUUUGUGACGGGAUGCACAAAUUUCAAACAGCCAGAAUCCCUGCACGGAAAUGGGGAGGUAGGCAUGAAAUCCCACCACUAGCUGGGGAGCUGUCGGCAUUUGAUAGUUGCUGGGAGAGGGAAUCAGUUUUCUUUAAUGGUGUCACCCCUGGUAAGUUGACCACAGGCCAAGACAGGCCCCACACCCAAGAGUAGUUGUGUGGCACAAGCUGGACUUGAUACGGAAGAAAAAGAAAGAAGCAAGCUUAAAAUUGAGUGGGUAGGGAGGGGAGGGUAGAGAAGGUGGGCAUAAGAGGAGUUGGAGAUAUGAUCAAAAUACAUUGUAUGGAAUUCUCAAAGAA